rnacentral:rRNA from 1 species
CCUACGGGAGGCAGCAGCAGGGAAUCUUGCGCAAUGGGCGAAAGCCUGACGCAGCGACGCCGCGUGAGGGAUGAAGGCCUUCGGGUUGUAAACCUCUUUCAGGAGGGAAGAAAAUGACGGUACCUCCAGAAGAAGCCCCGGCCAACUACGUGCCAGCAGCCGCGGUAACACGUAGGGGGCAAGCGUUGUCCGGAAUCAUUGGGCGUAAAGGGCUCGUAGGCGGCUUGGUAAGUCGGCCGUGAAAACCCAGGGCUCAACCCUGGGACGCCGGUCGAUACUGCCAUGGCUAGGGUCCGGUAGAGGAGAGUGGAAUUCCCGGUGUAGCGGUGAAAUGCGCAGAUAUCGGGAGGAACACCAGUAGCGAAGGCGGCUCUCUGGGCCGGUACCGACGCUGAGGAGCGAAAGCGUGGGGAGCAAACAGGAUUAGAUACCCUGGUAGUCCACGCCGUAAACGUUGGGUACUAGGUGUGGCGGACCGAUCAACGUCUGCCGUGCCGACGCUAACGCAUUAAGUACCCCGCCUGGGGAGUACGGCCGCAAGGCUAAAACUCAAAGGAAUUGACGG